rnacentral:rRNA from 1 species
GUAAAGCGAGCGCAGGCGGAAAAAUAAGUCUAAUGUGAAAGCCCUCGGGCUUAACCGAGGAACUGCAUCGGAAACUGUUUUUCUUGAGUGCAGAAGAGGAGAGUGGAACUCCAUGUGUAGCGGUGGAAUGCGUAGAUAUAUGGAAGAACACCAGUGGCGAAGGCGGCUCUCUGGUCUGCAACUGACGCUGAGGCUCGAAAGCAUGGGUAGCGAACAGGAUUAGAUACCCUGGUAGUCCAUGCCAUAAACGAUGAGUGCUAAGUGUUGGGAGGUUUCCGCCUCUCAGUGCUGCAGCUAACGCAUUAAGCACUCCGCCUGGGGAGUACGACCGCAAGGUUGAAACUCAAAGGAAUUGACGGGGGCCCGCACAAGCGGUGGAGCAUGUGGUUUAAUUCGAAGCAACGCGAAGAACCUUACCAGGUCUUGACAUCUAGUGCAAUCUGUAGAGAUACGGAGUUCCCUUCGGGGACGCUAAGACAGGUGGUGCAUGGCUGUCGUCAGCUCGUGUCGUGAGAUGUUGGGUUAAGUCCCGCAACGAGCGCAACCCUUGUUAUUAGUUGCCAGCAUUAAGUUGGGCACUCUAAUGAGACUGCCGGUGACAAACCGGAGGAAGGUGGGGAUGACGUCAAAUCAUCAUGCCCCUUAUGCUUAGGGCUACACACGUGCUACAAUGGGUGGUACAGAGGGCAGCCAAGUCGUGAGGCCGAGCUAAUCCCUUAAAGCCAUUCUCAGUUCGGAUUGUAGGCUGAAACUCGCCUGCAUGAAGUCGGAAUUGCUAGUAAUCGCGGA